rnacentral:rRNA from 1 species
GAUGAACGCUGGCGGCGCGCCUAACACAUGCAAGUCGAACGAUUAAAGCACCUUCGGGUGUGUAUAAAGUGGCGAACGGCUGAGUAACACGUGGGCAACCUGCCCCUUUCAUUGGGAUAGCCACGGGAAACCGUGGAUAAUACCGAAUACUUCGAGACUUCCGCAUGGAAGACUCGAGAAAGCUCCGGCGGUGAGGGAUGGGCCCGCGGCCUGUUAGCUUGUUGGUGGGGUAACGGCCUACCAAGGCAAUGAUGGGUAGCUGGGUUGAGAGACCGACCAGCCAGAUUGGGACUGAGACACGGCACAGACUCCUACGGGAGGCAGCAGUGGGGAAUCUUGCACAAUGGGAGAAAGCCUGAUGCAGCGACGCCGCGUGCGGGAUGAAGGCCUUCGGGUUGUAAACCGCUUUCAGCAGGGACGAGGCGAAAGUGACGGUACCUGCAGAAGAAGCCCCGGCUAACUACGUG